rnacentral:lncRNA from 1 species
GCUAAAUGUGUGUUUUGCAAACGAUAAACAGAUAUGUCGUACAUAUGCAAACCGAAACCAUGUAUUUUGGAAAGAUUACAAAGUUUACAAACUAUCUCCUCAAAUAUGAUGCUUAGAGCUAGUACUAGUGGCUAAUGGAAAGCCUUUAAUGCUGAUAGAAAUAAUUUAUUUAACAGUGUUUAUAAAACUGUAAUUAUUCUUUUGGAAAGGCC